rnacentral:rRNA from 1 species
ACGAACCGUGCGAACGUUAUUCGGAAUCACUGGGCUUAAAGCGCGUGUAGGCGGAUCGGCACGUCGGCCGUUGAAAUCCCCCGGCUCAACCGGGGAACAGGCGCCGAUACGACCGGUCUGGAGGGAGGUAGGGGGAGCCGGAACUUCCGGUGGAGCGGUGAAAUGCGUUGAGAUCGGAAGGAACGCCCGUGGCGAAAGCGGGCUCCUGGACCUCACCUGACGCUGAGACGCGAAAGCUAGGGGAGCAAAC